AGGUGGUGCAUGGUUGUCGUCAGCUCGUGUCGUGAGAUGUUGGGUUAAGUCCCGCAACGAGCGCAACCCUUGCCUUUAGUUGCCAGCAUUAAGUUGGGCACUCUAGAGGGACUGCCGAGGAUAACUCGGAGGAAGGUGGGGAUGACGUCAAAUCAUCAUGCCCC
rnacentral:ncRNA from 1 species